AUUGAACGCUGGCGGCAGGCUUAACACAUGCAAGUCGAACGAGUGGCGGACGGGUGAGUAAUGCCUGGGAAUCUAGCUUAUGGAGGGGGAUAACUACGGGAAACUGUAGCUAAUACCGCGUACCAUAGGAUGAGCCCAAGUGGGAGUAGGUAGUUGGUGAGGUAAAGGCUCACCAAGCCGACGAUCUCUAGCUGGUCUGAGAGGAUGACCAGGCACACUGGGACUGAGACACGGCCCAGACUCCUACGGGAGGCAGCAGUGGGGAAUAUUGCGCAAUGGGGGCAAGCUGACGCAUCCAUGCCGCGUGAAUGACGAAGGCUUUCGGGUUGUAACGUACUGUCGGUACCGAGGCGUUGCCCGCAGAAGAAGCACCGGCUCACUACGUGCCCGCAGCCGCGGUAAUAC
rnacentral:rRNA from 1 species